ensembl:misc_RNA Metazoa_SRP Metazoan signal recognition particle RNA
GCUGGGCAUGGUGGCGGGCGCCUGUAAUCCCAGCUACUCGGGAGGCUGAGGCAGGAGAAUUGCUUGAACCCGGGAGGUGGAGGUUGCAGUGACCAAGAUUGAGCCACUGCACUCCAGCCUGGGUAACAGAGCAAGACUCUGUCUCAA